ACAACUUAAUGUUUUUUCGGUGUAAAAUACUUAUCAUUUUGCUUAAAAGGGAAGCCGGUUUGAGUCCGGCGCGGUCCCGCCACUGUAUUAGGGAGCUUUAUAGAACAUGUCACUGUCCAACGGAUGGGAAGACCUAUAAAGUGUUGAACUAGAGCCAGGAGACCUGCCGAAAAAUAUGUGAUCGU
rnacentral:ncRNA from 2 species